GCAUUGUACGUAGGUCAAAAAUGCUCCAGGCCAUCAUCCGCAGUUAUUAAUGGUUGAUGGAUUGUGAAAAGCUACAAUGGGUACAUGAACGACUGAAGAUAUAUGGAAGUUAAAUGCAAUUCUUUGUAUAUCUUUUGCUAGCAUGAGAACUUCAUUUCAUCAAUAUGGCAUGACAGUUCUUGACCUUACUGAAAGUGACAUUUUCAUCAAAAUAGCUGCUGUUAAUUGUCUUGUUGUCUUCUUUAUAUUGUAUGAAAAUUGUGAAUUUUUCCAAAACCCUAAUCGUUUUCAUGUACCAAAACUCUUGCAAUUUCUGCCAUUGAUGGACAAACAAUAUUUGACCUACCAGUGGCGGAUCUAGGAAAAAAUCUUGAGAGGGUCAGGGAGGAAAUAGCUCACGCGCAAAUUUGUUGGAUGAAAACAACACAUACAUUUUUAGUGUGGUAUUUUCUUGAAUAAUUAGUGUGUUAUAGUCAAUGGCGGAGCCAAUGCGGGGGCAUUGAGCUCCCUUGACCCCAAUAGAUUUGUAACUUAUUCCUUUAAAAAAUAAUUUGACCUCUUUAAUGAAAGAAGCCAGUUUUUCCAGUACCCAGUCCACACCAGAUCUGAAAGAAGCCAUCAUUCCUCCCAGCGAUCUGUCUUGUUCUCCAGGUCGCGUUCUCCCGGCUUGGCAUCCUUCCUCUGGUAAGCUUCUCUUGUCUGAAAUUUCAUUAUUUAUUUGUUUGGGUUUUUAAAUUUAGGGAGGGGAUAAUCUGAGUGAAAGAGGGGUGGGAAUAGCGAAGGGAUGAGGUUUGCAGUGAUUAGUAGAGUGAAAUAGGAAUUGGACGUAAGGGGUUAGGGCUUUGGCCGUGACAAGCUUCAAAGGCUUAGCUUGCGAUCGCCGUCGACGGCAAGGGAGGACUCUCGGGAAAGAGAUCAAAACUUCAGGACAAGGAAACUGAAAUGAAAAAGGCAGCUGCCAAAGGGAGCAACGCUGAACAAAAAGCUAAGAAAAAACAGGUGGAGGAAGAGAUUACUCGGCUUUCUGCUAAUCUUAAAGAAAAACAUGCUGCAGAACUUGCUUCGUUAGGCUAUAGUGCUAGUAAUGGUAAUGAGAAAAGUAAACUUGACACUUUAGUGAAGGCCAUAGCUGGUGUUUCUGUCACCAGUCAACCUGAGCAGGUAAAGCCCAGCAAGAGUUUGAAGAGGCGAGAGAAGAGGGCUCAGCAAGAUGUAGCCAGGGAACAAAGAAUUCAAGAAGAGCAGAGCAAUCUAGUAAGUGAUCGAAUGAUUGAAAGCUAUUUUUUGACCCCAUUGUCUUAAAUUCCUGGCUCCACCACUGGCUAUAGUCCUCUUCCGAGCCUUAUUGCACGGUUGUUGUCAGACGAAGACAAACCUCCGAUCAAGUCUGUCAACGGAUAUUGGCAUACGCAAGAAACUUGGUCGAUAGAUACCGACAACAAUGCACACAAAGACACUAGCAAAUGGUGUAGAGUCACACUCAGCGACAAGGUUGUUGGAAAACCCCGGCCAAAAAGUUAAGAAAAUCUCAGGUCUUAACUUUCUUGACAACAAUGCUGUGAAUGUUGUUUCAAUACUGCUGACAACAAUUCUCACUUCCAUUGCCUGCGUUUCCGUUUUUUGAGAUCGACCUGCCCAACCAAAUAUCUUUCCAUUAUCAGCUAAGAUGGUGUUGAUGCAAUUAGAAACUGAUUCAUGUAGGCAGGCACGAUAACAAUAGUCCAUCAUGGUAAUCUAUGAUUUGGAUAAAUGGUUUAGCAAAUGCCAUCCUUCUGACAAGUGUGGUUUGAGGAACUGAUACUUCUAGAUGGCUAGCGAGCAGCAUUGUAAAAUUUUCGGCUGCAAAACGUGCGUCAUUGAAAUCUAUUCGAGCUAAUUUCGAGUCACAUUAAGCAGUGAAUUUGAUUUUGUUCACACUUACGAUCACAUUGUAUGUAUAUUGGCCUUGAUCCUAGACCCAACUUGCCUUAAUCUUACAAUUUUUUGUGUGGCUGUAACUGA